GGUUAACCGUAUAGGGGAGCCGGAGGGAAACCGAGUCUUAACCGGGCGUUAAGUUGCAGGGUAUAGACCCGAAACCCGGUGAUCUAGCCAUGGGCAGGUUGAAGGUUGGGUAACACUAACUGGAGGACCGAACCGACUAAUGUUGAAAAAUUAGCGGAUGACCUGUGGCUGGGGGUGAAAGGCCAAUCAAACCGGGAGAUAGCUGGUUCUCCCCGAAAGCUAUUUAGGUAGCGCCUCGUGAAUUCAUCUCCGGGGGUAGAGCACUGUUUCGGCUAGGGGGCCAUCCCGGCUUACCAACCCGAUGCAAACUGCGAAUACCGGAGAAUGUUAUCACGGGAGACACACGGCGGGUGCUAACGUCCGUCGUGAAGAGGGAAACAACCCAGACCGCCAGCUAAGGUCCCAAAGUCAUGGUUAAGUGGGAAACGAUGUGGGAAGGCCCAGACAGCCAGGAUGUUGGCUUAGAAGCAGCCAUCAUUUAAAGAAAGCGUAAUAGCUCACUGGUCGAGUCGGCCUGCGCGGAAGAUGUAACGGGGCUAAACCAUG
rnacentral:rRNA from 1 species